GACAGAGGUGCCGAGCGUUAGGCGGAAUCACUGGGCUUAAAGCGUGUGUAGGCGGAUCGUUAAGUGCCUUGUGAAAUCCCACGGCUCAAGCGUGGAACUGCUUGGCAUACUGGCGAUCUUGAGCCACUUAGGGGCUACCGGAACAAAUGGUGGAGCGGUGAAAUGCGUAGAUAUCAUUUGGAACGCCAAUGGUGAAAACAGGUAGCUGGGAGUGUGCUGACGCUGAGACACGAAAGCCAGGGGAGCAAACGGG
rnacentral:rRNA from 1 species